AGUAUCCUCUUACUGCAAUAGUAAGAGGUAUCCUUUUUUUUGUCGCAAAGGUAGAUUACUUGUUAUAUUAGAUAUUAGCACAAUUACAACUGACUUGCAGAAAGUCAGACCAAAAAAUGAGAUCAAGGGGCACAAGAAACACCCACUAAAAGGUCAACCCUGAGAAUCCAAAAAUUAACAGGGCAACAAAAGAAUAAGCCUCCCAAAAAGCAAGGAGCCUAAAAGCAAAAAGACUUCAGUCCACAGAGGUUAGAACUCUCUCAUCCCUAAAGACACCAAGAAGCCAAGCAGGAAAACUUACGGCCACGUACGAUUGAAGCCUACACUCCUUAGUAACACUUUGGGCAAUGAGAUUAGCACCUCUAUUCGAAGACACCGAUUCAAGCACCACUUUCCAAACUGCAAUGCCAUUUAAAGCUAACAAGAUCUCCGAAGACUGAAACCUAAAAGAAGGCCAAGCUUGCGGCCUGUUUAACACCCCAACAAGCACCGCAGCUUCCACACCAAAAACCACCCUAUUCACAUGAUGACUAACCAUACUCUCAACAGCCCAAACAAUGCUUAGAAAUUGAGCCUCCAAAAAGGAGGAAAUAUUGGAGAAGGCUCUUCUACUGUGCAUCAAGACAUUGCCUCUGUCAUUCCUCAACACCCAAGCAACCCCUGCAAGUCUAGUAAGAGGUAUCCUAU
rnacentral:sRNA from 1 species